rfam:Echinostoma caproni strain Egypt genome assembly, scaffold: ECPE_scaffold0010178
GGCCUCGUAGCUCAGCUGGUAGAGCAUGAGCCUACAAAGCGUAAGCGGCGUCCAUGUGUGGGUUCGAAUCCCACCGAGGUUA